GACGAACGCUGGCGGCGUGCUUAACACAUGCAAGUCGAACGGAAAGGCCCCUUUGGGGGUACUCGAGUGGCGAACGGGUGAGUAACACGUGAGUAACCUGCCCUUGACUUCGGGAUAACUUCAGGAAACUGGGGCUAAUACCGGAUAGGAAUCCUUGCUGCAUGGCGGGGGUUGGAAAGCUUCGGCGGUUUUGGAUGGACUCGCGGCUUAUCAGCUUGUUGGUGGGGUAGUGGCUUACCAAGGCUUUGACGGGUAGCCGGCCUGAGAGGGCGACCGGCCACAUUGGGACUGAGAUACGGCCCAGACUCCUACGGGAGGCAGCAGUGGGGAAUAUUGCACAAUGGGCGGAAGCCUGAUGCAGCAACGCCGCGUGCGGGAUGACGGCCUUCGGGUUGUAAACCGCUUUCAGCAGGGGCGAAGCUUGUGGUGACGGUACCUGCAGAAGAAGCACCGGCUAACUACGU
rnacentral:rRNA from 1 species